rnacentral:rRNA from 1 species
UACGGAGGGGGCUAGCGUUGUUCGGAAUUACUGGGCGUAAAGCGCACGUAGGCGGCUUUGUAAGUUAGAGGUGAAAGCCCAGGGCUUAACCCUGGAAUUGCCUUUAAGAUUGCAUCGCUAGAAUCGUGGAGAGGUGAGUGGAAUUCCGAGUGUAGAGGUGAAAUUCGUAGAUAUUCGGAAGAACACCAGUGGCGAAGGCGACUCACUGGACACGUAUUGACGCUGAGGUGCGAAAGCGUGGGGAGCAAACAGG